UCUUUGUUCAUCUUAUCCAGUGAAAGAGAAGGUGGAACGGGGAUAGCGGCGGCUGGGCUCUCGUCGGCGAGGUCAUCGGCGCGGAAGGUGUCCGGCUCUCCACUCCGCCUCCGGCCCUCUCGGCCUCUCCUUGGCCUCCGGCGUCCCCGGUUCCUCGACCUUUAUUAAAAAAAACGCCUACCUCUUAUCCAGAUGUUGUCGGUCCUAGACUUGCCGUCCGUCCGGUACGGCGGCGUCCUUGUCAGCGGCGAAGACGGUCCUUGUCGGCGGCGGAGACGUCUACGGAUGCAGAGGAGGAUGAGAAGGCCUCCACCAUGCCUCGCGCGGGAGGACGGAGGACGCCUCGCCUGGGCGUGUGCUCGGUGAGGGGCGGCGCCCUUGCCGGUGUUGCCGGCGGCGGAGACGGCUUCUGUUGCACGGCGGGGUGGAGCAUGGGGGGUAGUUGUCGGGCAACAUGAGGAGGCAGAGGCGGCCAAGGCAAGGAGGCACGGCGUCGGCUAGCCAAGGGGCGGCCGGAGCAGAGGACGAGGCAGUCCACUUCCCCAGUCUGCGCGCUCGUCACGGCAAGGCUAAUUCGAGUUAGCAACUUGGAGUAAUCACGUUCUCUCUAAUACUGUGUGCAGACCUAUCAUGUUUUCUCAAUUUCUGCCUGCAGCCGAAGUGCUACCAUGUUCCCUGAUAAAUUUCUUACUCUGAAUUUUUAUGUGCUUCCAUGUUCUAUACAUGUACAUGUACUCUGAAAUUCAUUCUAUCUUGUGCAGUCAGUACUGGGUGUAUACUCAUGACUUCCAAAGCGCCACUUGAUGUAAAAAGUCAUAUGCACAAUGCUGCAAGCUUGGCUAAAGGUGGAUCUUUUUGCGAUCCUAUAUAGCAUGUUGUUGGAUGUGGCCAGGUUUUUUGUUGGUAACUGUUGCCGGAGCAAGCAAAGGAGCCUGGCUUGGAUAUGGGUUAAUUGUUCUUGAUCAAUUGUCGUGCGUUAAUUGUUAGGUCUGGUAACAUCAUGCUCCCCUAUAUGAUUUGGAUUGAAUUCAUGACCGUGGCCUUCUCCAAUAGAAAUCAAUGGAGUGCCCGACCCGGACUGAAUUUCGCUGCUAUAAGAAGGAAGGGUCCUUGGCCGGAAUCUCCAUCGGGUUGCGUACUUGGACCAGAAAAUCCAUGAAAUCCCAGAGUACUUGGACCAGAAAAGCAUCAUGUCGCCUUCAAGUUUGCCGGAGGAAGAAGCGCCGAGUUCGCUGGAGGUAGAAGAACAUCCGUUGAGCCGUCCAAUAUCGCCAACGGCGGCUACACCAGAGGUAUGUAAUGCCUUGACCCCCCUCAAAAAUAGCAUUUCUGCGUUGGUUGUGAACUUGUGGUGCCUGUGUUCCUCACAGUAGUUGUUUUUUGCUGUUACUGUAGUUGGUACACCACUGUAUGAUCGAUGAAUUCAACUGAGUUUCCUUUGUUUGCACUGUUGUAUAAUGAAUGUAACUGAUUCCCCCCCCCCCCACAGAUCUAUCCUGUUUUAGUUUAUUGUUUCUGAAAAAUUGGUGCUACUUCCGAUUUCUCAAAAUUAUAGUUUGGCUGAUAUGCACUGGAGUCUUUAAACCAACUACUUCAUCUUUUUUUAUAUUUUUUGCAUUAUGUUUCAGCUAAUUAGAAAUGCAAGUGGCAAGCCCCUGUUUGAGUUUAUUUUUUCUGAACAAUUUUUUGUUACAAGCCAAGGAUUGAACCAAGAAAUUUCUUGUUGCUGACUACAUAUACCUGAACAUGGUGGCUUGAACUUGGUUACGAUAAUUCUUGGACAUGAUGUUGGAGUAAUUCUUGAAGGUUCAUAUAUUCUGCUCUUUCUUCAGUUAUCUAGUAGCUUAAUGGCAUACAGAUGAAUAGAUAUGCUAGCUGCACCUAGCAAAAUAGGAUCAGGAGGUGUAUUAAGUGCAGUGGAUUAAUUGGUUUUGACAUCUCAGUAAUAUACUGUAUCUGUUGACUUCGCCACCGUCGUCACCGUCGACUUCGCCGCAAGACCAUCUGCCAUCGCCUCUGCCGACUUUGCCGGAAGACCAUCAGUUGUCGCCUAGACCUACUUUGCUGCAGGUUCCGCACUGAGUCUGCGGGUCUCACGAGAUGUAGGAUAUAAAAGAAAUGGUGCCAGGGCAGAAUCUGGCAACGCAGAAACAGAGAGAAACAGAGAAACAGAUCCAAUCUCGGAGGGGCUCUUGCCCCUCCCA